GACAGAGGAUGCAAGCGUUAUCCGGAAUGAUUGGGCGUAAAGCGUCUGUAGGUGGCUUUUCAAGUCCGCCGUCAAAUCCCAGGGCUCAACCCUGGACAGGCGGUGGAAACUACCAAGCUGGAGUACGGUAGGGGCAGAGGGAAUUUCCGGUGGAGCGGUGAAAUGCGCAGAUAUCGGUAGGAACACCAGUGGCGAAGGCGGUCUCCUGGGGCAUUCUUGACGCUGAGGCGCGAAAGCUGGGGGAGCGAACGGG
rnacentral:rRNA from 1 species